AGUGAACGCUGGCGGUAGGCCUAACACAUGCGAGUCGAACGGCAGCACAGUAAGAGCUUGCUCUUACGGGUGGCGAGUGGCGGACGGGUGAGGAAUACAUCGGAAUCUACUUUUUCGUGGGGGAUAACGUAGGGAAACUUACGCUAAUACCGCAUACGACCUACGGGUGAAAGCAGGGGAUCUUCGGACCUUGCGCGAUUGAAUGAGCCGAUGUCGGAUUAGCUAGUUGGCGGGGUAAAGGCCCACCAAGGCGAUGAUCCGUAGCUGGUCUGAGAGGAUGAUCAGCCACACUGGAACUGAGACACGGUCCAGACUCCUACGGGAGGCAGCAGUGGGGAAUAUUGGACAAUGGGCGCAAGCCUGAUCCAGCCAUACCGCGUGGGUGAAGAAGGCCUUCGGGUUGUAAAGCCCUUUUGUUGGGAAAGAAAAGCAGCAGGUUAAUACCCCGCUGUUCCGACGGUACCCAAAGAAUAAGCACCGGCUAACUUCGUG
rnacentral:rRNA from 1 species